rnacentral:rRNA from 1 species
UGGCGACCGGCGCACGGGUGAGUAACACGUAUCCAACCUGCCGAUGACUCGGGGAUAGCCUUUCGAAAGAAAGAUUAAUACCCGAUGGCAUAGUUCUUCCGCAUGGUAGAACUAUUAAAGAAUUUCGGUCAUCGAUGGGGAUGCGUUCCAUUAGCUUGUUGCGGGGUAACGGCCCACCAAGGCAUCGAUGGAUAGGGGUUCUGAGAGGAAGGUCCCCCACAUUGGAACUGAGACACGGUCCAAACUCCUACGGAAGGCAGCAG